rnacentral:misc_RNA from 1 species
AAGGCCACUUCAAGUCUUCUACCCAUCGCCAUAUGAGAACUAUUUUGUUAUUGGAUGUUUCUUCCAAUUUUUCCAGAAGCAAGCAAAGCAUUACGUGUCAUAAUAUGAACUAUUGAAUAAGCAAAUCUCAAUUGGAAGACUCAAAUCAUUAAAUCGAUAAUCAAUUGGCCUUUAGCAAAAGGAUUGCCUUAAAUUCUUACUUACAAUCUGUAGCAGUUAGGCAAAUAUGAGACUCUAUUUUAAAAUCCAA